CCAAAAUCAGAAUCUCUCUCUCUGUCUCUUUUAUUCUCUCUUGCUCCCUCUCGGAUUUCCUUCGAUUUCAAACAAUCGAACCGUUCGAUCGUCGAUCCGACUUCGUUUUCACUGUUAAAGUGCUCCCGAUCUACAAGGAACCUAUAAGUGGGUGUGUAGUUUCACUAUACACUUACGUGUAGCAAGUAAGGCGAGGCAUGAUGACGUAGUCGAUGGCUUAGUUCGACGAAUUCCAUGACGCCAAAUUCGAAUAUUGCGCGGGCCAAGGCUCAGAUUCCCAGGAUUUUGUUCGAUCUUCUCCUCAGACUCGGACUUGAGUCGUCAUUUCCAGG